CAAAUUUUGUUCCAGAUUUCUUCCAAAUCAAGAGAUGAUAUUCACGCGAUUCGUCAUCUCUCUCCAGUUUGAAUGAUAUUCACGCUUUUUCAUCCAAAUCUGACGACAUAGAAAUUGAUUCGAUUAUCAGAUUUGAAUUGGAUGUUUUUCCAGAAGGUUCGGGAAGCAAUUCUGCAAGCUGAUUGGGGUUCAUGAAGGAGAAGGUUGUGAAGUUGAUAACGAAACCAUUGCAUCGGUGUGGAAAAUACAGAGAAAUGUGUGCCCAUGACUCUAUAAAUUUUGGCAGACAAAAAGGAACAAGAGAGCACUUAGUUCAUUUUGAAGUGCUUGAAUAUUGUAAUUGAACUCAAUGAAUUUAAUCUACUCCGAUUUGUAGCAAUUUACUUCGGAUUCUCCCCUUUGAUUUCUAUGAAUCUCUUCUUGCUCAA